rnacentral:lncRNA from 1 species
UCAAUAAUAUUUUUUAAUUAAUAAUUAAUAAUUUUAAUAUAAUAUUUUUUUUAAUUUAUGAUCUGUUCUGUACCUGUAUAGGAGAAAUCUCCUUGCAUCCUAAACUUUUUCUGACAAAAAAAACUUUUACGCCAAUUAAAAAGAGUACUGUUGCUGUGGAGGAACAGAAAAUGGGACCUGAAACUGCACUUUGUUUAACCCAUGCAAUGUAAUAAAAACCCAUGUAAACAGUCCAUGUGUUUGUCUUCAAAGCAGUCAUUAAUGGGUCCAAGUAAGGUUGGAUAGGAGUAACUUUAUAAUUCUUGCCUAUUAUUAAUCUUCUUAAAUCGUAAUGCUUUACUGACUAAUUUUAUUUUCAAAGAAGCUUAGCCUUAGGCUUUUAGAUAAAGAUGAUAUUUUUCUAUCAUCUUUUGAGUUAAAGUAGAUUUGCAUGCGAAGUUUUUAAUCUGGAAAUUAACUUUAGUUAAUAAAUUGAAUGCAAUUAUGCUAAAUUUAGUAAUUGAAUAUACGAAGAUAUAAGGAUUUCUAUUUUUACGUUCCUUUGAGGUCUGAAAUGAGAUAAAAAUAAUUUUUAAUUUUAAUGAUUAUGAUACAAAUUUAAUAAUAUCAAAUAAAAAAAAUAAUACAUUAAUGAAUUCAUUGGAUAAACGAAAAUAUAUAAAAUGAAUAUAUACAUUAAUUUAUAUGGAAAGAAGGGAAAUAUUCUCGCAUGAAAUGUAGGUUACACUCGACAAGCAACAUGGCUAAUGGUGACAAAUGGCCUUAGCCAUUAGGCCUUAGCACCAAAAAGACAAAAACCCCUUACGACAUGCACAGCAGAAACUGAGACCCACAAUUUCAUCAAUCAUCAUCAAGGAAAGUAAGUUGAAUAAUGUAUAUUUUUUGUCUGAUGGGGCCCAAUAAUGGGUGGUGGGCCCUUUGAAAGUAACGGUGGGAAAAUAAUAAGCGAGUCUUUGUAAUUUUCUGGAGAGGCGCAAACUAGCUGCCGUUUUUCAUUUUGUAUCUUUUUUAAAAUAUUUGUCAAGUCAAUUUAAUAAAGUGGGACCAAAAUUGGGCCCUACUUAGAGGGCUGACUCAAACCUUGGGCCAUUUUCUAUGGGCUAUAAGUGGGGAAUUGAUCGAACCAAUGAUGGGCAAUUCAUGGUCCAACUUUUUCUCAAUAAUAUCUAAAUAUCUAAAGAAAAAAAAAAAAAAAGAAGAGAGAGAAAAAAAAAACUUCCCAAAUCAUUUUCCAGCAUUGACAACUUAUAAGAUGACCGCUGCAAAUCU